CUUAAAGAAAACGCAACGAAUUUUCCAGCAGUGACCUGCAACGGUCUCCUCGCGCGCAACAUUAUAAUGAUCAAUUGUUUCGACUGUUGGGGAGUAAGAUCGUACCAAUCGCACUGUUUCUCUGCCAUAUAGCAGUACGUGAACGUGAUGAACAAAAAGCAAAUGACGUAGUAGAUCAUAAAAACGAGUUCCAUGAAUGUGAGCUGAUCAUGCCGCCUGUGGAUGUAAGCUAUCUUCUCUGCGAACUCGUUUCCGCUGCAUCCUUUCAGCCCCGGAAACUUCAGUCUCAGAACUGACAACUGCCCACAAAGAUGCAGCAUCAACACUAUGAACAGCGAGUCGAUCGACGUGUACGUCGUGGCCGCGAAGAAGUUGGAGAACAGCUGUCCGGCCAACGUAAGCUCGUAAUUCGGCGAAAUUUGCGAGUCGUAAGGAAAUGACGCCCUCAUGUACAAAGGUCUAUCGAUAUCGGUACCGUUAGCUUGGAGACGGUUUUGGGCAUCGAUGCGGAGGACAGCUAUGAUGAACUGUGCGGCGAAGGUUGCGUCUGCCAGGAAGAUGCACGUCGCCGAGACCAGACGUGAAAACCGGGCGUUCUCUUCCAUUAUUUCAAGCUCGAUUGGGCCGUGAGGCGAUCGCCAAUCGUUUGUGAUUUGAAUCAUGAGUUUUCGAAGGGCUGCGCUAAGAAAUGUUAUGCAUCUCAUAAUAUUACUUACAACUGAUUCGAUUAUUUAAAAUAUUUUGUAGAUACGAAUGCCGAGAAUGAAGAAAAAACACAAGUAUAAUAUCAUACCGCGUCUGUAGUACCAAAUUCCAGCGACUUUGACAGCCGCAGUACUGGUCGGUACUUCAGAGUUGAUAGAAAUCUCCGUGACUACGUUUAGAUCCCCCCAGACCUGCACGUUUUUCGCCGUCUGGGUGAUGGUGGCAAAGAAGACCAUCGUCGAGGACACGAUCAAAGCGCGCAAGUGCUCGAGUGCGCUGCUCUCGACGAAGGGAUCGGGCCAAAUGCCGAAAAUACGUAGGAAGAAUCGGCAUGGGCCGACCGCGAUAUCGUAACCUAUGAAUCCGAUCGUCAUUGAUAUCGUCGAAAAUCUCACACCUGACUCUGUCUUACUAUCCGUCACCAUAUCGAUACCCUCGAAUCGUCCUACCACCACCAAGUGCUGCCAAGAAACUGAGCUGGUCAUACCUCUCGAGAAUCCAUAACACGCAUGCUCCGGAACAACCGUCCAAGUUUCUAAGCCCUGCACGAUUUUAAUUUUGCACGUAGCGCAUGCAACGAUAAAUUCGUUUUUCAGCGCGUGUAUACCAUCGAGAGCUUUAAUUUUUAAGUAAAGAGACCUGUGAGACCGAAGGCGAUUGAAACAACAACUAAUAACAUGCGACAUACGUUGAACUUUCACGUAAACUAUCUGAGCAAUAUUGCAUGGAUAGAUAUAUCAAAACGUAGAAGAAUAAGAUGCUUUCAAGUUAACUGCAUCAAGAGCGGCAUCGUCGUGUGUCUCCGUAAAACUGGCCGCUGCAGCGAACCGGAAUACGUCGGCUCUAGAAGAAGACGUUGGCCGGCCUGGCCUGAGGACAGGAGAAAACGGAAC